rnacentral:rRNA from 1 species
ACGGGUGAGUAACGCGUGGGGAACCUGCCCUGUACAGGGGGAUAACACUUAGAAAUAGGUGCUAAUACCGCAUAAGCGCACAGUAUCGCAUGAUACAGUGUGAAAAACUCCGGUGGUACAGGAUGGACCCGCGUCUGAUUAGCUGGUUGGCGGGGUAACGGCCCACCAAGGCGACGAUCAGUAGCCGGCCUGAGAGGGUGAACGGCCACAUUGGGACUGAGACACGGCCCAAACUCCUACGGAAGGCAGCAG